ACAAUGCACAGCUGAAUUGGGAUGAGGGGCCAGGACAAAGCAGAAAUCUGCUGCAGAGAGCAGGAAAGAUAAAAGAUAUUCUGUAGCAGGAUCUGGGCAAGUGGCACUCAUCCAUAUACUUCACAUUGCAAAGAGAGGAGCUACCUCCUUCCUUUUUAUUUUCCAGUUUAUUGGUGGCUCCUAGAACCUCUGAGAACUAACUGAUUUUGACCUCUUAACAGUUGCCUUUCAACUACCAUUCAUUCACUGCAAGCCUACUGUGUAACAGGCCCUUGCUAACCACUUCAGAUAUAUUGUCUCUUGUCCAGCUUCAAGUGACUCUCUUAGGGAGGGAUUAGCCCCACCUCACUAGUAUGGAAAUGGAGACUUGGAGUAAUCAAGUGACUUGCUCUGAAUUACACAGCUGGGAAGUGGUGAAGCUGGAAUUCAACUCAAGUUGUGUCUAGAUCUAAAACUCGUGCUCUUUUCUAUGCUCAAAGCUGCAUAUCAAAACUGAACUUUAGCAUGGAGUCUAUGAUGACUGGCUCAUGUCUCUCCACCCAGCACCUAGCCCAAGGCCAAGCACAGAGAGGGCUCACAGUGGACACUUUUGGAAUGAGUAGAUUCUUUACGGAAUGGUCGAGCACACUGAACUACCUGGAGUAAAGGGGCAUCAUGUCUGAAACUGAUGCUUAAGUGGCUCAGAAAAAAAAUUCUGGGAGCUAGAGGGAGAGAGAGACAGUGGAGUGUGGUAAAAAGUUAUCAUUUUGGGGAUCUGGGAAAGAGGUAUAUGAGGAUUCUUUGUACUGAUUUUGCAAUUUUUCUCCAAAUGUGAAAUUAUGUCAAAAUAUAAAAUUAAAAGGCAAAAUUAAAAGAAUGAAUGAGAGUUUGCUAGGUAGAGAAGCAGGGGGAUCUUCUGGCAAAGGAACAGGAUAAGCAAAAGCAUCACACAAGUGUGCAAGUCUUCUGCGUUGACAA
rnacentral:lncRNA from 1 species